rnacentral:rRNA from 1 species
UAGUCCACGCCCUAAACGAUGCUUACUCGGCAUUGGCGAUACACUGUCAGUGCCUAAGGGAAACCACUAAGUAAGCCACCUGGGGAGUACGUUCGCAAGAAUGAAACUCAAAGGAAUUGACGGGGACUUACACAAGCAGUGGAGCAUGUGGUUUAAAUCGACAAUACGCGCGAGGAACCUUACCAGGGCUUAAAUGUGGUCUGACAGCUUUAGAGAUAGAGUUUUCUUCGGACAGAUCACAAGGUGCUGCAUGGUUGUCGUCAGCUCGUGCCGUGAGGUGUUAGGUUAAGUCCUGCAACGAGCGCAACCCCUAUCAUUAGUUGCUAACAGGUUAAGCUGAGGACUCUAAUGAGACUGCCGGUGCAAACCGCGAGGAAGGUGGGGAUGACGUCAAAUCAUCACGGCCCUUACGUCCUGGGCUACACACGUGCUACAAUGGCAGGUACAGAGGGCAGNUACCCCGCGAGGGGAUGCGAAUCUUCAAAGCCUGUCUCAGUUCGGA